rnacentral:misc_RNA from 1 species
AUUAAAAUUUAUCAAAUUUAAUUUAAAUUAUUUUUUAAUACUCUCAAACUAAUAUAUUUAAAAAUAUAUAUAUUUUCCUUAACAAUAGUCCUAGCAACAAUGCCAAAAAGACUCUAAAUCACCCAAAUAAAGGAUAAGGAUAACCUAGGCUUAUAACUUUAAACCAAGCUGAAAUUCCAGGACUACUGAAAUGUUGUCCUAGAUUCAAGCCAAGUCAACUUUCUGAGCAACUUCAAAAGCAAAGGAAAUCCUACAUAAGAAAAAUCAAUGCAACCGCUUCCUCAUAUAAUCUUUCAGUCUAGAACGACUCAAAAAUAAUCUGAUAAAACCAAAAAAAUGCAAAAAUAAGUGGCAAAAUAUUAGUUCAAAAACAGUAGUGCAUCAAAUAACAGCAUUGUUAAUCUAAUUAUAAUUGAUGCGAGUUGUAAAAUGAAGCUCUAGAAAAAAGUUCUGACCAAAGGCUAGAAAAUGAGCAAUGCAUUUUGCUCUCUGGUUUUCAAAACCUUAUCAACUACCUUCCUUGCCUAGCUUCCUUGUCAGACUUCUAGUUUAAGCUUCAGUGCAAUUCAGAUUAUAAUCAUCAUUAAUCUAUGCACACUUUAUUCUUCUUCAUUUUUUUUUCUUACUCUCCUAUUUUGUGGCUUUCUCUGCACUUGUUGUUGCAGUAGGUUUGGAUAGUGGCAUUGAAGCUUUGAAUUUUUUUUUAUGACACUCAGAAAUCAAUAAAAGGAGGAAAGAAAGGUUCAUGCAACAAAGACCUCAUUGAAAGCGGGUAACAGAAAUGCUCAAUUACCUGCUUUGCCAAACCAGUGAUCUG